AAGACCUUUGCGCUUUUGGAGCGGCCGAUGUCUGAUUAGCUUGUUGGUGAGGUAAAGGCUUACCAAGGCUUCGAUCAGUAGCUGGUCUGAGAGGACGGCCAGCCACACUGGGACUGAGACACGGCCCAGACUCCUACGGGAGGCAGCAGUGGGGAAUUUUGGACAAUGGGGGCAACCCUGAUCCAGCCAUGCCGCGUGAGUGAAGAAGGCCUUCGGGUUGUAAAGCUCUUUCAGCCGGAACGAAACGGUUACGGUUAAUACCCGUGACUACUGACGGUACCGGAAGAAGAAGCACCGGCUAACUACGUGCCAGCAGCCGCGGUAAUACGUAGGGUGCAAGCGUUAAUCGGAAUUACUGGGCGUAAAGCGUGCGCAGGUGGUUUUGUAAGUCAGAUGUGAAAUCCCCGGGCUUAACCUGGGAACU
rnacentral:rRNA from 1 species